UCGAGAAUCUUCCGCAAUGCGCGCAAGCGUGACGGAGCGACGCCGCGUGGGGGAUGAAGGCCUUCGGGUUGUAAACUCCUGUCACCUGGGAAGAAUGGCUGGUUGUUAAUAGCAGUCCAGUUUGACGUUACCAGGAGAGGAAGCACCGGCUAAAUACGUGCCAGCAGCCGCGGUAAUACGUAUGGUGCUAACGUUGUUCGGAAUCACUGGGCUUAAAGAGCACGUAGGCGGUUGAGAAAGUCUGAUGUGAAAUCCCUCGGCCCAACCGGGGAACUGCAUCAGAAACUUCUUAGCUAGAGUAUAGGAGGGGAGAGUGGAAUUCCUGGUGGAGCGGUGAAAUGCGUAGAUAUCAGGAGGAACGCCGGUGGCGAAAGCGACUCUCUGGCCUAUUACUGACGCUGAGGUGCGAAAGCUAGGGGAGCGAACGGGAUUAGAUACCCCCGUAGUCC
rnacentral:rRNA from 1 species